CCUACGGGUGGCAGCAGUAGGGAAUAUUGGUCAAUGGAUGGAAGUCUGAACCAGCCAUGCCGCGUGCAGGAAGAAGGCCUUCUGGGUUGUAAACUGCUUUUGCCGGGGGAUAAAAAGCUCAUGCGUGGGCGAUUGCAGGUACCCGGUGAAUAAGCCACGGCUAACUACGUGCCAGCAGCCGCGGUAAUACGUAGGUGGCGAGCGUUGUCCGGAUUUAUUGGGUUUAAAGGGUGCGUAGGCGGCCUGAUGAGUCAGUUCUGAAAUAUCCCGGCUUAACCGGGAGGGUGGGAUUGAUACUGUUGGGCUUGAGUGGACUCGAGGUAGGCGGAAUUGACGGUGUAGCGGUGAAAUGCUUAGAUAUCGUCAAGAACACCGAUAGUGUAGACAGCUUACUAGGGUUCAACUGACGCUGAGGCACGAAAGUGUGGGGAUCAAACAGG
rnacentral:rRNA from 1 species